GUCGAACGGCAGCAUGAUCUAGCUUGCUAGAUUGAUGGCGAGUGGCGAACGGGUGAGUAAUACAUCGGAACGUGCCCUGUAGUGNNNGGAUAACUAGUCGAAAGAUUAGCUAAUACCGCAUACGACCUGAGGGUGAAAGUGGGGGACCGAAAGGCCUCAUGCUAUAGGAGCGGCCGAUGUCUGAUUAGCUAGUUGGUGAGGUAAAGGCUCACCAAGGCGACGAUCAGUAGCUGGUCUGAGAGGACGAUCAGCCACACUGGGACUGAGACACGGCCCAGACUCCUACGGGAGGCAGCAGUGGGGAAUUUUGGACAAUGGGCGAAAGCCUGAUCCAGCAAUGCCGCGUGUGUGAAGAAGGCCUUCGGGUUGUAAAGCACUUUUGUCCGGAAAGAAAUGGCUCUGGUUAAUACCUGGGGUCGAUGACGGUACCGGAAGAAUAAGGACCGGCUAACUACGUGCCAGCAGCCGCGGUAAUACGUAGGGUCCAAGCGUUAAUCGGAAUUACUGGGCGUAAAGCGUGCGCAGGCGGUUGUGCAAGACCGAUGUGAAAUCCCCGAGCUUAACUUGGGAAUUGCAUUGGUGACUGCACGGCUAGAGUGUGUCAGAGGGGGGUAGAAUUCCACGUGUAGCAGUGAAAUGCGUAGAGAUGUGGAGGAAUACCGAUGGCGAAGGCAGCCCCCUGGGAUAACACUGACGCUCAUGCACGA
rnacentral:rRNA from 1 species